rnacentral:rRNA from 1 species
GAUGAACGCUGGCGGCGUGCCUAAUACAUGCAAGUCGAGCGGACGAACUAGGUCCUUGCCCUUCGAGCGUUGGCCGCGUGCGUAAGAGUAACGCAAGCUACCUCUAUCUAUGGGACAGGCAUAAGUUCGGGAGACCAAUGCUCCUUACUGAUAUGAUUUUCAUCAACAUUUAUCAAUAGUUAAAGACGGUUUUGCUGUCCCUUCUAGAUAGAUCCGGGCCGCAUUAGAUAGUUCGUAAGGUAACGGCUUACCAAGGCAACGAUGCGUAGCCGACCUGAGAGGGUGAUCGGCCACACUGGACCUGAGACACGGCCCAGACUCCUACGGGAGGCAGCAGUAGGGAAUCUUAUGCAAUGGGCGAAAGCCUGACGGAGUAACGCCGCGUGAGGGAUGAAGGUACUCUGAUCGUAAAACUCUGUUACUAGGGAAGAACAAUUGUGCAAGUAACUAGGGACUUCUUGACGGUACCUAACCAGAAAGCCACGGCUAACUACGUG